CAAGGUGACUGGCAGAGAAACAAGUACAAGUAGGUCAAAACAUCUAAGCACUUAGCCCUACGUGGUGAAAGGGCUUUAACACGAUAUCAAGUGAUCUUCCCGAGACAUACGUAUACCCAUUUGCAGAUUUUUAUAUAAUCUUGAAGCCAGGAAUAAAUGAGCAUGGAAACUGCACAUAAGAGACAUCUCAUCAAGAAUAGAGUGAAACUACUCGAUCUAAUAGUCAACGAAGAGUUCAUAAGUUACUUGAGAUCAACAUCUACAUUGUCAAGGGCUAUGGUGGAAGAUAUCGAGGUAGAGGCCUUUGAUGAAUUCUACAACGCACUAAUCCUAACAGAACAGUAUAACUUGGCAGACGUGGUUAAGCCUGAACUAGCUGCCGCGCGUAAAGCAAAACAAAGUAAAGAAGUUGAAGAGGUUAAACAAGAAUUAAAUGCACUAAAAACUGAGGAAUCAACAACAACGUUCGUUACAGAUUGGUUUGGAUUCUAGGGAUGGGGAGUCUUUGAAAGGCCAAAUUGUCCAAAUUGUCCAACAGCCAUCUUCCCCCGCAUCUUCCCCACUUGAAGAAGAGUUCGAAUUACCAUCCGAAUGGCCAUUGAAGGACUGGGGUUAUUUGAGUGAAAUAAUGAACAUGAAAUUGUGCGACCAAAAUACGUGCAGACCUAUGUUUAACGGAGGAAAUAAUUCCUAUCCGAUGAAUGCUCCAUGCAAAGGAAGAGUCAUAGUUAUCAACAAUGAAGAAUUUGUCAAGAAGGCAAAUAGAAAAGGAACCGACCGAGACGCUAACAGUCUUCGUGAGCUCUUUCUGCAGAUGGGGUUCGAUGUACUGCCAUUGAAAAAUUGGAAAAAUCUGACAGCCACUGAAAUUCGUACUAAACUGAAGCACCAAAGUCAACAACUGAAAGAACUCUAUGACUGUAGCUCCUUCAUAUGUGCCAUCCUUAGUCAUGGAACAACCGGCAACAUGGUGAUAGGGGUCGACGAGGAUGAAAUAUCCGUACAGGAAAUAAAAGACAUAUUCUGCAAAUGCAAAGCGUUGAGUGGGAAACCCAAAAUUUUCAUAGUACAGGCAUGUCAAGGAGAGGAAAGGGAUGAGGGUUGCCUCGACCAUAGCUUUGAACGAUCCACAUCGUCUUCCUCAGGAGGUCGUGCUGAACCCAGUGAAUCGUUGGACCCAUCAGCAAUUUCGAAGCCACCCGUUGAUGGCGGUGACUUCGUUGAUGGUACACCAGAAUCGAUGCAAUCGUCUCCAACUAGCUUGCCAACUUAUGCGGAUACGUUAGUUGCUAAUGCUACGACAGAAGGAAUGGCGGCCUGGCGCCACUCAGAAGAUGGGAGUUGGUUCAUACAAGCUAUCGUAUACGUGUUUGCAAAGUGUGCCCAUCGUAUGGAGAUUUUAGACCUAUUUAGACAGGUCAACAACCUCGUGGCAAUUGCUGGAACAAGAACAACGAAAAGCGAAUACAAACAAGCAUCUACCUCCAGCAGUUCCUUCAGGAGGAAACUAUAUUUGUUUCCUGGGAUGAGCGGGAUAGACUGACGACCAACGCUUGUAUUACAGUAGAAAGUUUAAGCUUGCAUAUAAAAUCGAAACGCCAACCUAUACGUAUGGCCAAUCGCCCAUACAAAAUGCAUCGCUUAAAUAAUUUCCCUUCACAUUUAAGUUGUGAAA
rnacentral:misc_RNA from 1 species